GCCAGAAUUAAUUUUACCCUGGUCUGAGCAGUUAGAAUUUAUAUUAUUACAAUUGUAUUCUGGUUCAUGGAGAUAUAUUAUUUAUUCUCUAUUACCUAAAUCGCAUGUUCCUGGAGGAUUUAGAGUAAGAACUCAGUAAAUACUUAUUGAAUUGAAUUGAAUAUACAUCCAAUAAAUAGCUUCAAUAGUUGGAAGUGGGAAGAGGGUAUUAGAAUAAAAAGCCAGACAAUGGAUGAAACCAGUCAGAGAAAAUUUUUGAGAUUUAAGUGAGUUUCAUACAGUAAUUUAAAUAAAAGAAAUUGUUGGAGAAGCUGGAGACUGAUUUACACAAAUGAGUCUGUCUAGACUAAGCCUUAAAAUCUGGCAAAGGAACCAAAAGAAGGAACCAAAAAAAGAAAGCUUAGCCAAAAUAUGGCAUUAGGAUGGUGUAUGGAAGGAAGUGAGAAGAAAUGGAGUGGAAAUAAAUGUGAGCAAUCAAAUGAAUGUUUGAUAGAUAUCUCUGAAAGAUUUUUAUACUCAGUAAUCAACCUUCUUUCUGUCCACAUACCAUUAGAAUAUGAAUUUCAUUUUUGGUCAAAUACAAAUCUGCUACGCGGAUCUCCACUGCUUUUUGUAACUCUACAGACAUCAGUACCUUGUUUUUUUAAAGAAAAUUCUAAAGGACUAAUAUUUCAGGAAAUUAUAUUUGUAAGCAAGACAACUCAGUUGGACAAAUAUCACAGUAUAAGAUACAUAACAAUUCCCUAAUUGUGUAUUCUUAUCCUGAUGAAUUAGGAGAUGUGAUACAUCUUCUCUCUUGUCAAGAACUCCAACUCUUGAGGACACUUUGACAUGGCCUAAUGCAGUCGAAAUCAGAAAGGAGCUAAGCCAUCUUCCAAUAAGAAAUACAGGUUUUAGGAGAACAUGGUGUUUCUCAGCAGGGGUAUAAUAAUGCAGGGGGGUUGCAUGUCUUCAGUAUCUGUCUGGUUGCAGGCACUGUGCUAUGCAUUUCAUUUUACUGAGAAAGGAGGAAACUGAGCCCGUGGAGGUUGACAAUACACACAAUGUCUCACCACCAGUAACUAGCAAAACAGAUUCGAACCCAUGCCUUACUCCAGUCAGUGCUUUACCUACUACCAACGCUGCAUCUUUACAUCAUGCAAAAGUACCACAGAGUUAUUUUCAUCUGCAGUAUCCCUCCACAAGUAGGCAGACAGAAAACCAGAAAAAUGAAAUGAAUUGACCCUACUAUAAUUCUCUCAUAUUUCACUAAGGUAUUUCUAAUUAAAAUCAACAUAAAAAGUAAGCAAUAUAUGUUAUUAUUCAAAAUAAGCAAAAGUAGUAAUCUUGCUGAAAUAAAAUAGAACUAUUUCGCAGUUUUAUGAUUUUCCCUUUAAUUUUUUUCUUUAAUUUAAUUUGAAGAUUAUACUAGUUCCUUUGAAUACUUAAGUGUAGCAAACCUUGGCAUUACUAAGAACUGGAACCUCAUCCCUGGCUUAUAGUUAUUCUGACUGAAUAGGCGAUUUGGCUACUGCACAGAUUGAGUCUUUAUGGGAAAACAAGUCAAUCAGUUGUGCAGUACAUGAAUCUCUGAAAGCCACAUGCAUCACUUGUCUUUAAAUCAUUCAACAUAGUUUGGCAUUCAAUAACUCAUAGAAAUAAAUGCUGAGGAGAAAAAAAAGGCGAAAUAAAUGUUGAGACUUUUCUGAAAAUUCCUUAGAAAUUAAUACCAGUUAACUCUUAAAUAACCUUCAAACUUGGGCUUUUCUUUGUUUCAUAUUGCCUUUCACAGUGAGAAGGCAAAAUAAAUGCUGAAUAAUCAACAAGGAUUGUGUAUCAGAAUGAUUUAAAAUGACAUUCCCACAGAAGAUGAGAAAACAGAAUGAAACAAAACUGUAUGGACUGUGAAUCCCUUUCAGCUCUUAUUUGAGUGCAUUUGAUUGAAGGUCCUUGGAGGUGACAGGCACCACCAGGAACCCAAGUCCAAAAAUCUCUGCUUGCCAUACACAUUGCUAUACACAGGCAUAGGCUGAUGGGUCUCUUCUAAACUGUUCUGAUUUCCAAAAGGUUGAAGAUGCAAGGAGAUGACAUUACUAAAAUGACUUGGUUCUUGGUGUGAUGCUAUUUGCAUCUAAGUUCUUUCCAAUGCUGCUUAAAAACGUGGAGAAGUAUGGAGUCAAUAAGGGAAAUAGGACAAUGCCAUCUCGUGAUUAGGAGAUCUGAACCCAGUUGGUAUGCGUGAGAAGCCCUAGCCAUAUGGAGAGGUCAUGUGUUGACGCCAGUCAGUUGCCUCAGUGAAGACCAGCCUUUGAAUCACUACAGCCAUCCCAUGAGACAUUAAGUGAAGAAGCCUCCAGAUGAUUACAGCCUUUAACUAUAUCAGGAAAAACAUUUUGUGCCCUACCUUUAUUGAGAGAUUAUUUUUAAAUGAUUGAAGAAGACAGGGAGAGACUGUACUCCUGAGAUGCACACAGCUGUAAUCUUCAGAAGACUACCCUUUGGCCAAACCUGCAUAGAGCUGGAGGUGCCAGGGAACUUGUGUCUCUCAAAGGGCAGCCUACAUACAGUGACUGACCGAUGAGGAAGAGUGAAAGCCCAGCUCCUUUUCCUCAAGAUAAGCAAAAUACAGUAUGAUUAGCAACGCAGUCAUCUGACAAGUCCCUCAGCCACCAGGAGACCCACCAAAGGCUGUGAUGAUGGGGGCAAGGAAUGAUGUUCAGGAAAGGUCUGAAGCACAAGCCUUGCCUGGAAAGGUUAUAAAUGUCAACCAGUUUGAAGGUAUGGAAAAGGAGAGAGAAAAAUGGAACAAAUUUCAGAGAAGAGGCACAGCUGAUGAGAACAGCAUUCUUAUCAAUGAGGUUUUUAAAUAUCAAGUUUCCAUCACACUGAAAGGGAUCAGCUGUGAAUCUGUGGGACGGUUUCUUUCAUACUUGGCAUUUCCUGGCUCCUGACAGUUCCUUGUGAGUGACUACUGGACACCUGGGUUCCAUUUGGGACCCAAGGCUUUACAUCAUCUGUGAACCAGGUGGAGUGAACAGCAGAGCUGGCGUUGGAGGAAUUUGAGAAUAGGUGAAAGAGACUCCACGGAGUUCUCAUUCUCUCAUUGUAGGAAUUCUAGAAAGUUACCUGGUUGCAAUAAAAAUGCCUACUGCUGCCCUUUAAA